rnacentral:rRNA from 1 species
GACGAACGCUGGCGGCGUGCUUAACACAUGCAAGUCGAACGAAGUGGCGAACGGGUGAGUAAUACGUGAGUAACCUGCCCUCCUUUUUGGGAUAAGCCUUGGAAACGGGGUCUAAUACCGAAUAAGGGGGAGGGGCUCGCGGCCUAUCAGCUUGUUGGGGGGGUGAUGGCCUACCAAGGCGGUGACGGGCGGCCGGCCGGGGAGGGUGAACGGCCACAUUGGGACUGAGACACGGGCCAGACUCCUACGGGAGGCCGCAGUAGGGAAUCUUCGGAAAUGGAGGAAAGUCUGACCGAGCCCCGCCGCGUUGGAUAUGACGGCCUUCGGGGUGGAAAGCUCUGUUCAGCGGGACGCGGUACCGGAAUAGAAAGCCACGGCUAACUACGUGCCAGCAGCCGCGGUAAUUC